UCCGAGUUGUAAUUUUGAGAACUGUUUUCUGUGCUGGACCAUAUACAAGUCUGUUGGAAAACAGCAUCAUUGAGGGUGAUAAUCCCGUAGAUGAUAUGGACUACCAGUGCAAUAUGAUACAGUCUCUAAGAGUCGAGUUGUUUGGGAAUGCAGCUCAAAGAGGGUGGUAAAUUCCAUCUAAGGCUAAAUAUAGGUGAGAGACCGAUAGCAAACAAGUACCGUGAGGGAAAGAUGAAAAGAACUUUGGAAAGAGAGUUAACAGUACGUGAAAUUGUUAAAAGGGAAACAUUUGAAGUUAGACUUGUUAUUAUUGGUUCAGCUUCUCUUUUUUAAUUAGGAGUUUAUUCCAAUGGUUGACAGACCAGCAUCAAUUUUUGAGUGUUAGAUAAGGGUCUUGGAGAAUGUGGCAACUUUGGUUGUGUUAUAGCUCCUGGCUUGAUAUAAUGCUUAAGAUUGAGGAAC
rnacentral:rRNA from 1 species